CCAAUAGCGUAUAUUAAAGUUGUUGCAGUUAAAAAGCUCGUAGUUGAAUUUCGGGAUUAGUACGCUGGUCGUGCCUUCGGUAUGUACUGGUGUUACUGGUUCCUACCUUCUGACGAAUCGUCAUGUCAUUAAUUUGGUGUGGCGGGGAAUCAGGACUGUUACUUUGAAAAAAUUAGAGUGUUUAAAGCAGGCUCGCGCUUGAAUACAUUAGCAUGGAAUAAUGAAAUAGGACGUUUGAUCCUAUUUUGUUGGUUUCUAGGAUUGACGUAAUGAUUAAUAGGGAUAGUUGGGGGCAUUAGUAUUCAAUUGUCAGAGGUGAAAUUCUUGGAUUUAUUGAAGACUAACUACUGCGAAAGCAUUUGCCAAGGAUGUUUUCAUUAAUCAAGAACGAAAGUUAGGGGAUCGAAGACGAUCAGAUACCGUCGUAGUCUUAACCAUAAACUAUGCCGACUAGGGAUCGGAUGAUGUUAUUUUUAAUGACUCAUUCGGCGCCUUACG
rnacentral:rRNA from 1 species